ACUGUUGAAUUAAUUGAUUAGGUUGGAAAAGUAACAAGAAUGCUCUACAGCAGAGGAACUCAUUGGAAGGUCAAGAACAGCCAACUAAACAGCUCAAGAAUAAACCAAACCAAACCAUACACAGGGGACAUACCCUAGAUCAGAGUACAACCAGUCUCAGGGUCCAACUUGAACCACAAGGAUCCCAGGAGGAAGGACGGAGUUCAAUGAUCCGACGCAUUAGUUCUCUCCGGAGAAUUUCAAGAUCUUCGUCCUGGAAACUGAGUAAAAAUUUGUUUGGAACCAAACUCAGAUAGCAGUCUCAUCCUUCUCCUCUUAGUUUAUCAUUCAACCUUGUCUAGUAUUUGUAUUUGGUUUUCCCAAGAAAUUUUCUUUCAUAUCAUUAAAAUUUACCAUCUGACGUUAUUUUAAGAAAUUACCCAUAAUUGUUUUGUUUUUAAAUUUAGUAAGAUUAUAAUUAAUUGAAGAUUAAAAAGUGAUGCAACCUAUGAGAUUAUGUACACGGUUUCCAAACAUACAUUGACGUUAAUAUUGAGCUACACGCCUCCAAGCAAUCAACAGUUUUUAUAUACUCUCUUACUUUCUCCUAAUUUAAUGUGCGAUUAUCAUUUUUCAUUAUAUUAUAUUCACUUUUUAUCACUUUGCAGAAACCUGAAAUCUUUCCUGUAAAAAGAAAUAUUGAAUGAACAGGAUUGUAUGCUUAAUUUCAAGUAAACAUAUGGCACGCAAAAAUGGAAUUACCUGAUUUGCAACGGUAAUUUAGAUAAAACUGAUUUAUGUCCUAAUUACUGAGCUCAGUAAAAAAUAGAUUUUUUGAAUUUUUGUUGUUGAAAAAUUUCAUAUAUUAGAUUAAUUAUUAAGGUCUCCAAGACCAAUUACUAUUAUGCAACAGCUGCAAUGUUAUAAUAUAUCAAAAAAAUGAUUUCGAACAUUAGCUUUUGCUUUUAAUAGUUUUCUUAUGAUUUUGUUUUGUAUUUCUGUAUAAUGAUGAAUAAUAUUAAAUUCAAAAAUAUUUGUAAAAAUUGGUCAAAGAUGAUAAACAGACCUUUAUUUCACACAAUCAAAGGUUUGGAGUUUUAAAAACUCAAGUUACUUCAGACAUGAAAUGUUAAAAACAACUGAUUUUAUUCUUGUGAUUCAUACCUCGAAUUAAACCCUGCAGAAAAUAAACUCCAGCAAUCCAUGUUAAACUUUUUUAUUUAUAUAAAUGCUUACAUUGAUUUCAUGAAAUUAAAUAUUAAUUGACAA